rnacentral:lncRNA from 1 species
GUUUUCAUCAGAUUUUAUUAAGUAUUAUUUGUUACAUCAAUAGAUAUAAACAAUUCACCAAAGUUUCAUGGACAUUGGUGAAAGCCUUUUUGAGUUAUUGUCCGAAGUGUUAAAAAUCCCCCUUUUUUUUAUGAAUAAAGCCCAAUAAAUCCAAAACUUAAAAUCUGAAAUUUAUAAAAAUUGAAAGGGAGCUUACAUCAAUAGAUAUAAACAAUUCAACAAAGUUUCAUGGACAUUGGUGAAAGCCUUUUCGAGUUAUUGUCCGAAGUGUUAAAAAUCCUCCUUUUUUUUAUGAAUAAAGCCCCAUUAAUCCAAAACUUAAAAUCUGAAAUUUAUAAAAAUUGAAAGGGAGCUUACAUCAAUAGAUAUAAACAAUUCACCAAAGUUUCAUGGACAUUGGUGAAAGCCUUUUUGAGUUAUUGUCCGAAGUGUUGAAAAUCCCCCCUUUUUUAUGAAUAAAGCCCCAUAAAUCCAAAACUUAAAAUCUGAAAUUAAAAAAAACCGAAAGGGAGCUUACGUCAAUAGAUAUAAACAAUUCACUUAAGUUUCAUGGAAAUUGGUGAAAGUGUUUUUGAGUUAUUGUCCGAAGUGUGGACGACAUACGGACAGACGGACGGACGGACGGACGGACGGACAACGGUAUACCAUAAUACGUCCCGUCUAAAAGACGGGCGUAUAAAAAUGAAGACAUCUUUUGUUUCUUAAGGAUCAGUUUAAUGGAAUAGACUAAAAUGUGUAACAUGCAAAACAGUUUAAACUUUGAAGAAAAUUAUCAAUUAUAAACACUUGUCACAGUCCUGAUAAGCUCCAAAAUGCUAGUAAGUGGUUUUAGAAUGAAUUAUUUAGAUUUCUCAAUACUAUCUUUUUAUUAUGUGAAUCUCUUUUACUGCUUUAUUAUGUCACCCGAUCGACAAUGUCGGGUGACAUAUUGCUUUUCCUCUGUUUCUUUUUCUGUAUUAUUAUGGCACCCUCAACGGAGUUGGGGUGACAUAUUGUUAUUGUUCGUUUCUUUUUUUCUUAUUAUUCUUAUUAUUAUAUUUAUUCUUCCACACUUUUUUGUCCAUUCUAUUUCUCGGAAUUGGCUUGAACAAUAUUGAUGGAACUAUACCAUAAUGUAGACCACCACAUUCUAUAGUGCAGUGGGGUAUGGCACCAUCAAGAUGGCUGCCGUUGCCAUGGAAACGAAACAAAUGUGAAAAAAUCCAGUGUUUUGUUUUGGUGAACUCUUUGGAUAUGCUUGAACUCAGAAUCAUUAUAUUUUGAUACAAUGUAGGUGCCCACUAUAUACAUGUGUUGGAUGAUUUUGGCACUCAUUGGAACUACUAUGUUGCCAUGGAAACAACUCUAAAAAUUUCAAAAAUCUCAAAAUGUUCCAAACUUAAUGAAACUUCACAGUAACGAUGAGCAACAUUGGAAGAUGUGGAAUUUGGCGUUGGAAUUUCCAAAAUAUCUGUUGUUAACAUGGAAAUAAUGCAAAAAGGUCAAAACUUUGAAUUUUCACAGAACAUUCCAGAACAUCAAUGUUAAAUUUAUUCUAGAGACAUUAAAUGGUAUAUGAUGGUAUAUAUGAUUAUGGAGGGAAAAAAUUGCAGCGGGGGUUUGACUUUGGAAUAUUCAAAAUGGCCGCCGUUACCAUGGGAACAGCAAAAUUAUGAAAAACUUCAAAAUGCUUUAAAUUUAAUGAAACUUAUAACAAAUUUUGCCUAGCUAAUGUAGACUUAACUUUUGAGUUUCGAAUUUUCAAAAUGGCCUCCGUUGCCAUGGAAACAGCAAAAAUUUUCUAAAUGGCUGCCGCUGGC